rfam:Leptospirillum ferrooxidans C2-3 DNA, complete genome.
UUGAGCUGGCUGCGGUGAGAGUCGCACGGCCAGUUCUUAGAGGGCGGGGAACUGGCAACAGUUCCUUGCUACUCGAC